UACGUAGGGUGCAAGCGUUAAUCGGAAUUACUGGGCGUAAAGCGUGCGCAGGCGGUUUUGUAAGUCUGACGUGAAAGCCCCGGGCUUAACCUGGGAAUUGCGUUGGAGACUGCAAGGCUUGAAUCUGGCAGAGGGGGGUAGAAUUCCACGUGUAGCAGUGAAAUGCGUAGAGAUGUGGAGGAACACUGAUGGCGAAGGCAGCCCCCUGGGUCAAGAUUGACGCUCAUGCACGAAAGCGUGGGGAGCAAACAGG
rnacentral:rRNA from 1 species